CCUACGGGAGGCAGCAGUGAGGAAUAUUGGUCAAUGGUCGGGAGCCUGAACCAGCCAAGCCGCGUGAGGGAUGAAGGUCCUACGGGUCGUAAACCUCUUUUGUCAGGGAACAAAGUCGGGCACGUGUCCCCUUAUGUAUGUACCUUAUGAAAAAGGAUCGGCUAACUCCGUGCCAGCAGCCGCGGUAAUACGGAGGCUUCGAGCGUUAUCCGGUUUUAUUGGGUUUAAGGGGUGCGCGGGGGGGCUGUUAAGUCAGCGGUAAAAGUUCGGGGCUCAACCCCGACCUGCCGUUGAAACUGGCAGUCUUGAGUGGGAGAGAGGUAGGCGGAAUGCGCGGUGUAGCGGUGAAAUGCAUAGAUAUCGCGCAGAACUCCGAUUGCGAAGGCAGCAUGCCGG
rnacentral:rRNA from 1 species